AAAGUAGAGAAAGUGGAAGAGGAAAGAGUUACCCCAGCGAGAACCGGGAACCGGGCUGCAGACUCUCCGGCCCGGGGGAGGGAUGAGUUUCACUCUGGUUGCCCAGGCUGGAGUGCAAUGGCGCGAUCUCGGCUCACCGCAACCUCUGCCUCCCGGAUUCAAGCGAUUCUCCUGCUUCAGCCUCCCGAGUAGCUGGGAUUACAGGCAUGUACCACUGCUCCCGGCUAAUCUUGUAUUUUUAGUAGAGAUGGGGUUUCUCCAUGUUGGUCCGGCUGGUCUCGGACUCCCAACCUCAGGUGAUCUGCCCGCCUCGGCCUCCCAAAGUGCUGGGAUUACGGGUGUGAGCCACCGCUCCCAGCCAUUCUUUAUGUAUAAUUUUGUAGUCUUUAUUCAAGGCAUACUUUAUCAUAAUCUUUCCCCAUAUUGCUAUGUAGUUUUCACAGUUGCCAUUUUUUAUGUAGUACAGUGCAGUUUCUGUAGUACAGUACACUGUGGUGCUAAAGACAGUUGGCUUUGCUGUCAGAACUGGGUUCAGAUCUGGACUCCACCCAUGACUUGUUAUAACAUGUUAGCAAUUAUUUCACUUCUUGAGUCUGAUGAAAUAGGUGGUGACAAAUUCUUAACACAGUGCCUAGAACAUCAUAAGUGGUUAAUAAAUGUCAGCUAUCAUGAUUCCUACCGUAGUUACAUUUGCCCCCCCAGAAGUUGGAUAUCUUUUUUGUGUGGUUCUGUAUAAUUAUUUUUGAACAUAAAACUUUUUAUUAUUUAGGAUUAUUAUUUUUUCUGAGUGCCAGAGAUGGAAUUGUGGUCAAAGACUACAAAGUUUUCCAAGGUCUAAGGGCCAGGCUCACUGACCCUUUUUUUCUUUCCUGUCUUUUCUGCCCCUGCCCUCCCCACCUUCAUUCCUUCCAUCCAGUCAGGCCCCAGUUGAGAAGUUAUCCCCCAACACGCCUUAAAGAAUCAGAGUUGGAUACCUUGGCCAAGCAGUCACAGUCCUACAAAAGCUCUUUGCUCUCCUCUUUCUCUCCUCUUUUCCCUUUUUGGGGAAUGUGGCAUAUGGCUCUGGGAGUGAUUUCCAAUGACUGCCCUUCUUUGGGAACAGGUGGACACUUAGGUGUCCAGUGACUGGGUUUCUAAUCCUUGAGUGGCCCCUGAUUGUCUAAUAGUGAAUACUUGCUGGGUUAAGCCUGUGGCUCAAACUGUACUGGUCAGUUUCUCUCCAGCAAAUCUGCUGGUUGGAACUGACAGGUGGUUGGUGGGAGUGGUUAGAGCAGAGGCACUAAUGGUGGGUCCUGCCUCCUGUGUUCCCCAGGGCCUGGUAGUUGAGCUUGCCCUUGGGUUCUGUAAGGUACUCAUAGAUAUGUUGGCAUGAACCAAAAGUAUCUGAGACAGGUCUCAAUUUAGAAGGUUUAUAUUGCCAAGGCUAAGGACGUGCACGUGACACAGCCUCAGGAGGUCCUGACUACAUGUGCCCAAGGUGGUUGGGAUACAGCUUGCUUUUAUACAUUUUAGGGAGACAUGAGACAUCAGUCAAUAUGUACAAGAUGUACAUUGGUUCCAUCUGGAAAGGCAGGACAACUUGAUGCUGGGGCUUCCAGGUCAUAGAUAGAUAAGAGACAAAUGGUUGCAUUCUUUUGAGUCUUUGCUCAGCGUUUCACUGAAUAUACAAUUUACAUGUGGGGAAGGGGUGAGGUGGGUGGUAGAGGAAUAGUCAUUUAUGCCUUUGUCUCAGUGGAUCUGCAUUUUUACAUAAACAACAGGGCAGAAGAAGCAAUCAGAUAUUCAUUUGUCUCAGGUGAGCAGAGGGAUGACUUUGAGUUCUGUCCUUUGUCCCACACCUAUGAAGAUAAGCUAUCCAUUUACAUUGCCAGGGUGAAAUUCAACAGAACUGUUUUAGGGUAAAGAUCUUGAUGCCCACAAGGAAUUUCCUUGUGGGCAAAUUGUGAGGGAGGUCUGUAGCUUUUUUAUCUUUGUAGCUAUCUAACUUAGGAAUAAAAUAAGAGGUAGGUUUGCCUGAUGCAGUUUCCAGCUUGACUCUUCCCUUUGCCUUAGUGAUUUUGGUGUCCCGAGAUUCAUUUUCCUUUCACAUUGUUCUGAGACUGGAAGUUCUGCAAGGACAGGGAACUGUCUCUAUGGCUCAUCAUAGUUUCCAGUGCCCAGGCACUUGAUUAAUAUUUGUUGAAUGGAUGGAUAGAUGGAUGAUGGAUGACUUGGCCUCUGGAAUCAAGAGGCAGUACAGCAUAAUGGUUGGUAUAAAUCUAGAUGUAGUCAGCUUAUGCUGGAAUCCUGGCUCUGCCACUGACUAGCCUGGGAACCUUGGGAAAAUUACAUGGCCUUAGUCUGCCAUGGUUUCCUCAUCUGUAAAAUGGGGAUGAUAGUAACCUCUCGGGAUUGUUGUGAAGACUGUCUGAGUUAUUAGAUAUAAACCAACUAUUAGAUAUAAAAGUGCCUUGCACAUAUUAGGUACUCAAUAAAUAUUAGAUACUAUUAUUGGCUUAAUUAGUCAUAAUUAGGUUUAGCAAGUAACAGAAAACCCAAAAAUAAGCUUACAUUUUUCUCUCACCUUCAGGAAUCCUAGAGGUGAUCAGAUUGUUUUCCUCAGCAUCAGAGACCGAGGCUUCUCUUGUUGCUUUGCCAUGUUUGGCUUCCAUUCCCAAGGUCGCGUCACUAAGCAAGGUGGCUGCUGGGACUCCCAUCUACUGAGGCAUUCUAGCCAGGAGGAAGGGGGAAAGGCAGAGGAAGGGCUCACCCUUGCUCUUUAAGGAUAGUUCCCAGAAGUUGUAGUUCCAGCUGAGACCUCUCCUUUGAACUCCAGACAGCAACACUUCAGCUCCUUGCUUGAGGUGCUCCAGAGGCAUCACAGACCAAGAUGUUCAAGUUGAAACAUUCUCUGACUCCGAAUCCAGACUCCAUAAACUGUGCCACCUGUACCUCCUUUAACUGCCUCUCACCACAUCCUGAGGCCACUCAUCAUUGAGGCCAUUUUCUUUCUUUCUUUCUUUCUUUUUUUCAUAUUUUUGAGAUGGAGUCUCGCUUUGUUGCCAGGCUGGAGUGCAGUGACGCGAUCUCAGCUCACUGCAACCUCCGCCUCACGGGUUCAAGCGAGUCUCCUGCCUCAGCCUCCCGAGUAGCUGGAAUCACAGGCGCGUGCCACCACACCCACCUAAUGUUUGCAUUUUUAGUAAAGACGGGGUUUCACCAUGUUGGCCAGGAUGGUCUCGAUCUCUUGACUUCGUGAUCUGCCCACCUCGGCCUCCCAAAGUGCUGAGAUUACAGGUGUGAGCCACCACGCCCGGCCGAGGCCAUUUUCUUCUACCUCCAAUAGAUACAUUUAGAAUCUGUCUCUUUUACUUCAUUUCCCACAGCUAACAGUCCAUUCCAGGCCACCAUCACACCAUCAUCUUUUGCCUGAAGUGCAUAAGCCUCCAACUUGGUCCCUAAACUUCUCUACCCAGUGAGCUCUACACAAACCAGACCAUGCUCCCUCCCCAUUAAGGCCCCUCACAGCUUCCCAGUGCAUUCUGACAGUGCUCUCUGCACCUCUUCGCCCUGUCCCACAAUGCAUGAGCUCUCUUAUUCUUUUUUUUAUGAGACAGGGUCUCACUCUGUUGCCCAGCCCAGAUUGUAGUGGUGCAAUCAUAGCUCACAACAGCCUUGACAUCCUGGGCUCAAGCGAUACCCCCAUCUCAGCCUCCUGAGUAGCUGGGACUACAGGCAUGCGCUACCACGCUUGGCUAAUUUUUUGUAUUGUUUGGAGAGAGGGGUUUCCCUGUGUUGCCCAGGCUGGUCUUAAACUCCUGGGCUCAAGUGAUCCACCCACCUCAGGCUCCCAAAGUGCUGGGAUUAGAAGUGUGAUUCAUGCCUGGCGUUUUGUUUUGUUUUGUUUUGUUUUUUUUGAGACAGGAUCUCACUCUGUUACCCAGGCUGGAGUGCAGCACUAUGAUUAUAGCUCACUGCAGCCUCCAACUCCUGGGCUCAAGUGAUCCUCCUGUAGCUGUAGUCUCCCAAGUAGCUGGGACUACAGGCACAUGCUACCAUGCCCAGCUAAUUUUUAAUUUUUUUUUUAUAGAGAUAGGGGUGUGCCUGUGUUGCCUAGGCUGGUCUCAAAAAAUUCCUGGGCUCAAGCAGUUCUCCCACCUCACCCUCCCAAAGUGCUGGGAUUAUAGGUGUGAACCACGGCACUGGGCCUGCCUUAUUCUUCCUUAAAUUUCUCAAGUAAGCCAUCCUUUUUCCUACCUCAAAGUCUUGCAUUUGCAGUUUCCUUGGCCUGGAAUGCUGUUUCCUUCCUACUGGCUUCAUUCUUCAAAUCUCAACUUAAAUGUCACCUCCACAGAGAACCUUAUCUGAUUAAAAGGAGUUGGAUCCCCCACGACCACCACUAUUCUCUAUCCAAUGUCUUUUCUUAUUAGCAUUUAUCAUAAUAUGCAAUUAUUCUGUUUGUUUUGUUGUUCCUCAAGUGUUUCUUCUAUUAGAAUGUAAGCUCCCUGAAGGCAAAAACCACAUCUAUCUUGUUCCUGUAGUUCCAAUGCAUAGAACACAAAUUCUCCGAUUCUGGUGGCUAAUAGAGUAGGGACUCAGUAAACAUUUUAAAAAUAAAAUAAAUGUACUCAACUAUACCAAAAGAUUUAUUAAGCAAAAAAGGUAAGAUACAAAACAGUAUGUAGUGUGGAAUUCCAUUUAUAUUUUGUAAAAAUUUUGUGCAGACACACACACACACGUGCAUGCACAUUAAGGAUACACAAAAAACUAGUAACUGUGGUUGCCCCUAGGAUAGGGACUAUGACUCAAGGGAGAGAAGAUAGAAGUAAUUUUAAUUUUAUAAUCAUUGUUCCUAUUUGGAUUUUUGUUUUACUACAUGUCUAUAUUUCUUUUAUAAUAAUAAAAAUACCAUCUAGUACUGUUAUUUUAAAAAGGAAAUAUGGAAUAGCAAAAAAAAAAAAAAAAAGGAAGAAUCUUAGAAUAACAGUCAUUUAAAUGGAACAAAUUUGUCCUUAUGAAAACCCCACAACAUUGUCCUUUUUUUUUGCAUUCCACUGAGGACCUGGGAAAGCUUCCUCCAGCCCUGAUGCUGGCCUGCAGUAUGGCACUUGACAGCUACUGGUAUUGUGGAUAGAAGCAAAGGCUCUGGACUCAGCAACACUUGGUUUGAAUUCCAGUUCUACCACUUACUAGCUGUGGUGCUGCUGACAACUUAAACUCCAUGAACCUCAGUUUUCUUCAUCUGUAAGGUGGGAUAACAGUACUUCUCUAAUAGGGAUAUUGUGAGGAUCAAAUAUGAUGAUCUAAAGCAGUUAGCACAAUAUCUUGCACAUAGUAAGUGCUUAAUAAGUGGCAGUUAUUAUUUCAUACAUUAUAAGGUGAUACCCCUGAACUUCCAUUGUAUCCAGAUUCAGAUUUCUGCAUGUUAAAGGACACAUCAUAUUGCAAGACGAUAGGGUGGUACUGCCUAUCAGCCAAUUGUGUAGGCUCCAGAUCCAUCAGCACAGCAAUGAUUGGGAAAGUACUUGAUUAUUCCAUGUUAUCCUCAUUUUAUAAAAUUUUGUCAGUGGAAAAUGGAAGUACCAAUAGUAGUGAUAAGAAGUAUGCAUCUGUCAAGUAAGUGAAAAUACAACCCACUGAAUGGGAGAAAAUGUUUGCAAAUCAUAUAUAAGGCAGUGGUCCACAACCUUUUUGGUACCAGGGACCGGUUUUGUGGAAGACAAUUUUUCCACGGUUGGGGGUGGGGAGGGGGUUGGGGGUGAGUGGGGAUGAUUUCAGGAUGAAACUGCUCCAUCUCAGAUCAUCAGGCAUUAGAUUCUCACAAGGAGCACCCAACCUAGAUCCCUCCCAAGUGCAGUUCCCAGUGGGGUUCACACUCCUGUGAAAAUCUAAUGCUGCCGAAGAUUUGACUGGAGGCAGAGCUCAGGUGCUAAUGCUCCCUUGCCUGCUGCUCACCUCCUGCUGUAUGGCCCCAUUCCCAACCAGUACCUCUCCAUGCAGGUGUGGGGAGGCAAUGCGGUGUGGGGAGGCAAUGCGGUGUGGGGGUGUUGGGAACUGCUAUGAUAAGGAACUUGUAUUCAGAAUAUAUGCAGAACUCUUAUUACUCAAUAAUAAAGAGACAAAUAACCCAAUUGAAAAGUGGGCUAAGGGUUUGAAUAGACAUUUCUCCAAAGAAGAUAAACAAAUGGCCAAUAAGCCCAUGCAAAGAUGCUCAACAUCCUAAUCACCAGGGAUAUCAGAAGGGAAAUGCAAAUCAAACCUGCAAUUAGGUAUUACUUCACACCUACUAGGAUGGCUGUAGCCAAUAAGACAGACAAUAACAAGUGUUGACAAGGAUGUGGAGAAAUUGAAACCUACAUAUAUUGCUGGUAGGAAUGCAAAAUGGUAAAACACUUUGCAAAACAGUGUAUCAAUUCCUCAAAAAAAAUUUUUUUUUUUUUGAGACGGAGUCUCUUGUCACUGAGGCUGGAAUGCAGUGGCAUGAUAUCAGCUCACUGCAACAUCCACCUCGUGGGUUCAAGUGAUUCUCCUGCCUCAGCCUCCCAAGUAGCUGGGAUUACAGGCACCUGCCAUCAUGCCCGGCUAAUUUUUGUAUUUUUAGUACAGACGGGGUUUCACCAUGUUGGCCAGGCUGAUCUUGAUCCUGACCUCAGGUGAUCCACCCACCUCGGCCUCCUAAAGUGUUGGGAUUACAGGCAUGAGCCACCUCACCCAGCCCAAUUCCUCAAAAUUUUAAAAUAGAGUUACUUUAUUAAUCAGCAAUUUCACUCUUAGGUAUCUGCCCAAGAGAAAUGAAACAAUUCAUCCACACAAACACUUUUACAUGAAUGUUAACAGCAGCAUUAUUCACAAUAGCCAAAAGGUGGAAACAGCUCAAAUAUCCAUCAACUGAUGAAAGGAUAAACAAAAUGUGGUAUAUUCACACAAUGAAAUAUUAAUGAUACAAAGGAAGUGCUGACACAUGCUGCAACAUAGAUGAACUUUGAAAAUAUGCUAAAUGAAAGCAGUUACAAAAGACCACAUAAUGCAUGAUUUGAUUUAUGUAAAUGUCCAGAAAGGGCAAAUCCAUAGAUACACUAUAGAAAAUAGAUUAGUCGUUGUCAGAGGCUAAAGAGAGUAGGGAGGAUUGGGAUGGGGAGUGACUUAUGGGUACAGGGUUUCUUUUAGGGGGACAAAGAUAUUUUGGAAUUAGUAGUGAUGGUUGCACAACCUAGUAAAUAUACUAAAAUAUAUGAAAUUGUACAUUUUCAAUGGGUGAAUUAUGUAGUAUACGUGAUUUAUAUCUCAACAAAAAGGAGUUUAAAAAGAAGUAUGUGUAUCAUUGACUCUUUCGAUAUAAACAUAGAAAUCAUUAGACUUAUCGAAAGGGAUGAAUCUUUAGCCUCCAUGGGAUGUUCUUAAGCCUAUUGCUGUUUUUUGAUUUGUGAAGGAAAAUAAUCAAAUUGAAGGUACAUUAGGAAGGACAGCAAACAUAUGAUCAGCGAUUGUGUCUAAAAAUGCAGGUGUAAUUGGACAUGCUGUACCACUUUUUAUUCCCAACAUAAAUUUGUUGUUUGACUUUUGUACUUUUGACAUUAGUAAUAUUUUCUGAAAUAAAUUGUGUAUGGAAGCAGGGGACUGUGUUUACUGUGUCAUGGGGAAGGCAAAUGAUCUCUCAGCCCUCUUCACUUCCCAUUUGUUUAAUGCUGAACCAUCAAGCAAACUUCCUCUAGGGAAUAAUUCAGCUGGUACCAGGAGACUGCACAUAAUUAUUUGGGCCACUGGAAAAUUCUAAUGCCCAUGAAAAAAUAGCUUUUGGUUUAUAGAUCAGUCUUUUGUGAAUUUGGGCAGGAAAAGUCAGCCCUGGAAAGUGGUUUUAUUUUGACCAUAACUAAAUAUGCAAAAAAUAGUAGGAUAAAUAAUGAGAUUAUUAAUAAAUCUCACAAAACUGUAAUUCUAAGGUUUAGCUUUAGUUUGGUUGGUUCAUCAACAGCUCAACAAUUUUGGAGGUCCAAAUCUGUUCUGGUAAGAGCUGGGGAUAAAAUGGUGGAUGAUAUAGACACAGCCUUGCUUGCCCAAAGUCAAGUGGAAAAGUAACAUAACAUAAGAGUGAAUAACAUAAUUAUGCAUUAUUCAUAGAUUCCAUUAUUAUACUCAUUCACAGAUUCCAGAUUUACAAUUUACCUACUCUCUAAAAUGUAUUUGUAAUCUCAAAAAUCAAUGCUCUUGGCCGGGUGCAGUGGCUCACGCCUGUAAUCCCAGCACUUUGGGAGGCCGAGGUGGGUGGAUCACCUGAAGUCAGGAGUUCAAGACCAGCCUAACCAACAUGGUGAAACCCACUCUCUACUAAAAGUACAAAAAUUAGCUGGGCAUGGUGGCGGGCAACUGUAAUCCCAGCUACUCGGGAGGCUGAGGCAGGAGAAUCACUUGAACCCGGGAGGUGGAGGCUGCAGUGAGCCGAGAUCGCACCACUGCACUCCAGCCAGGGUGACAGAGCAAGAUCCUGUC
rnacentral:lncRNA from 1 species